GUUUCGUACGAAUUUUAACUGCGUCACAGCCAGGCUAUAGUCAAUGCACAGCCACCAAUGUAGACUGUACAUCUAAAUAUGACUUUCUCAUUUCUAACAAAGGUUUUAGAGUAGCUGACAGCUUUAAUACAGUAGUUUGUCAUAUUCUCACUAAAUGACAUUUUUUGCUAGUUUCGUACGGAUUUUAAGUGCGUCACAGCCAGGGAAUAGUCAAUGCACAGCCACUAAAGUAUAUACUGUACAUCUAAAUAUGACUUUCUCAUUUCUAACAAAGGUUUUAGAGUCACUGACAGCUUUGAUAGUUUGUCAAAUUCUCAUCAAAUGACAUUUUUUGCUAGUUUCGUAUGCAUUUCAACUGCGUCACAGCCAGGCAAAAGUCAUAAUGCACAGCCACUAGAGUAGACUGUGCAUCUAAAUAUG